rnacentral:rRNA from 1 species
GACGAACGCUGGCGGCGUGCUUAACACAUGCAAGUCGAACGGAAAGGCCCUGCUUUUGUGGGGUGCUCGAGUGGCGAACGGGUGAGUAACACGUGAGUAACCUGCCCUUGACUUUGGGAUAACUUCAGGAAACUGGGGCUAAUGCCGGAUAGGAGCUCCUGCUGCAUGGUGGGGGUUGGAAAGUUUCGGCGGUUGGGGAUGGACUCGCGGCUUAUCAGCUUGUUGGUGGGGUAGUGGCUUACCAAGGCUUUGACGGGUAGCCGGCCUGAGAGGGUGACCGGCCACAUUGGGACUGAGAUGCGGCCCAGACUCCUACGGGAGGCAGCAGUGGGGAAUAUUGCACAAUGGGCGGAAGCCUGAUGCAGCAACGCCGCGUGCGGGAUGACGGCCUUCGGGUUGUAAACCGCUUUCGCCUGUGACGAAGCGUGAGUGACGGUAAUGGGUAAAGAAGCACCGGCUAACUACGUG